rnacentral:rRNA from 1 species
CCUACGGGAGGCUGCAGUGAGGAAUAUUGGUCAAUGGACGCGAGUCUGAACCAGCCAUGCCGCGUGCAGGAAGACGGCUCUGUGAGUUGUAAACUUCUUUUGUCCGGGGAUAAACACUGAUACGCGUCUCUGGCUGAAAGUACCUUACGAAUAAGGAUCGGCUAACUCCGUGCCAGCAGCCGCGGUAAUACGGAGGAUUCAAGCGUUAUCCGGAUUUAUUGGGUUUAAAGGGUGCGUAGGCGGUCGGUUAAGUUAGUGGUGAAAUCCCGCGGCUCAACUUCGUAAUUGCCGUUGAUACUGUUCGGCUAGAGAGUAGUAGAGGUAGGCGGAAUGUAUGGUGUAGCGGUGAAAUGCUUAGAGAUCAUGCAGAACACCGAUUGCGAAGGCAGCUUACCGGGCUACUACUGACGCUGAGGCACGAAAGCGUGGGGAGCAAACAGGAUUAGAUACCCCUGUAGUC